UGCCUUGGUGUUACUAAGUAAGCAGAGGUUCCCCGGCGACAAGAGAGGAACAGAAUGAAGGGAACUGUGGUCCAGGGAGAGAGGAUGAUGUGUAAAGGCAACAAAUCUCAAGAUGAUGGCACAUUCAGAGUCAGGGCAAGGUCACUGGAGGCUGUGAUGAGAUCACAGAAGAACUUGUAAUAUAUGGUAGGAGAUAUAAAUCACACUGUUCCUCCUGAAUCCAGUUCCUUGUGCAACCCAAUAAGAACUAAGCUGGGAAUGUGGAAGCCCACAUUCGGAAGACUUCAACUUCAGUGUCAGCAUCCCAGAAAGAGGCUCCUGCAAGCAAUGUGCUAGGAAAGCUUUCUUAUGGAUUCUCCUACCAACAGAAACAAAAAUGUUCCUAUACAAGUAUUUCUGACGGACCUUGACUUCUUUGGAAUGCACACCCUUCUCAAAGAUCCUCUCAAAACAUUUUCUAAAUUCUAAGGCUGCUCAUCUCAUCACCUGAGGCAUCUGAGAGAAGAGGACAUUGUAAAGUUUAAAAGCAGAAGUGAGUUAUUCCUGAACAUGAGGCCAUUUACCCAACCAUUCCUCUUAGACGAGCCCAGUGCACAGCAGACCACGACUGACUCAUCUGCUCCUGCAGUUCACUCAAACCAAAUGAGCUGUCAGGUAAAUUCAUUGUGG
rnacentral:lncRNA from 1 species